GUGAAAGAUCUGCUGAUAGACAUGGUCUUCCAAGUCCAUCCAUCUUUCCAGAGAAAGAUUCUUCAGACGCUUGCAUCCUCUCACGAUCAUUAUACAGGCAGGUGUUCAGGCCAGGUGUGGUGUGGAGCUGAUCUAGAGCCAGACCCACUGUGGCUCUGCAUGGACUUGGCAAUGCUCUCCUGGCUACUUACAAACUGGAUUUCCUGGGACUGGAUCUUGCCCAGCUGACCACUGAUGAUUUAGACACCACUCCUAGAGGAAACUUGAAUACAGAAGAACCUUCAAGAUCAUCUUGCUAGCUUCUGUAAUAAAUAGGCCAGAAAUCCCAUGCAGGAAGCCUGCUUGAAACUUGCUCUAACUGAAUUAGAUAAAAGGAGAAACAGGGUCAGUUUUGUUCUCUCCUGCCUAUAAUGUAUCACCAAUGCUGCUGAAGGGGGCUGAAAAUUAAACAGAAAAAGGUUGGAUUUUUGAAUGUAUUUAUUUCACUGAUCAAUUCAGGUAGUAAACAUUAAUAAUAAUAACAAUAAUCAUUUAAUAAAAUGGAUAUGUUUAAAAGGUUUCAUUUUCUUUGUUCACAAUGACAAAAUGUUCAAACAGAAAUUUACAAAAAAAUAUAAUAACCCAACAGAUGGACAGGAAACAUAGAGCCUAGGAAUGGAGCAGGGGGUGAGGAAGGUGCAUGGCAGGAGCAAGCCAGCAUUAAAGCACAGCAGGGUUUGUGAGGAAGAGCACGGAAUGCCAUUGCAGAGCAUGAGGAGUAGGAGGCCCCUCCUUUGAGGGGAGGCAUGCAAGGAGGCAGCAAAGGACUGCACAGGCAGGACCAGCACAGCAGUGGCACACAAGGAGUUCAUGCCAUGGAUCCAUCCUGUCAGGCACAGGGGCCAAGAUAUACCAAUAGCCCCAGCUGCAGCCUGGGAUAGUUGUAGAGUGGGACACCAUCCCUGCAGCCACUCACUCAGCAGGGCAAAGCUUGGCAGAGGCAUGGGAAUGUGCCAGGGGGUGCAGGGAUCACAUGUGAGACUGUGGAGGUUGUGUGAGAGGGAAGGCAGUAAAUUACUUUCCUAUCCACAUUUUUCACUGCCAGAGGCACAUGGCCAAACUCCCUGCUUUCAGGAGUCUCUUCUCCACUUACUGUGAGAAUUGAUGCCACAGUACAACACACUCCUUAAACAAAUAGAUUCCACCUUCCAGGCCAGAAUCUGAAUCCCUGAUGUCCCCCAAAAUCAUUCUCUAAUCCCUUUCCAAGCAGUCCCUAAAUCCCAGCACUCAGGGCAGGGAAUCUCCUACACAGAGACAUGAUUUCAGUGGUACCACCACCCCUCUGCUAUCUCUGCUGCCUCACUCCUGUGUGUUUUUCCUAAAUGCAACUUGAACUAUCUUUGCCAGCUGGUAGCCAAAGUCUUCAGCUCUCUAUAGAGGACAGGCUUGUGACCCUUGACUUUCUGUAGGAGGCACAUGCACUGAGCCGAUGGAGAUUUCCCCACAUGGAGGGAUGGGCAGAUCCAGCCUCAGCAGCCCUGCCUGCCUGUGACCAGUCUACCCUGUGCUUUCACCAGCACAUGGCAUCUCAGUGCACAGCCCAGCAUGAAAGAUGUCAGCUGCUCUAUGUCCAUGCUAAAGGGAAAAGGUCUCCUUUAUUUUCUAUGAAUUAAUCUGUUUGAAAGAGGAAAAUGUCCAGGUGGACAGGGCUCAUUUGCAACAGAACAUCAUCCUCACCAAGAUUAGUGUCAAAAAAGGGGGACAGGUACUUCAAGAUGUUCCCUUUUAUGUUAGCACAGAUAAAGCCAAGAACUCAUCUUUAAUUCCAUCUUUUUGGAAAACCUGGAGGAAGCUCCUGUUUCAGGUUACUCCACUGCUCAAUUAAGCACAUCAUGCAAAGAAAGAUUAUACUUCCUUUCAGGUGCCUUGGUCCUUCAUGUUACUGAAGUCAAGCUGAAUCCUUCUGCUCUCCUAGGAUGGCACUGCCACUUAUGAGCCCAAAAUAGGAGAACAUGAAAAAAAAAAA